rnacentral:rRNA from 1 species
AAUACGUUCCCGGGCCUUGUACACACCGCCCGUCACACCAUGGGAGUGGGUUGCAAAAGAAGUAGGUAGCUUAACCUUCGGGAGGGCGCUUACCACUUUGUGAUUCAUGACUGGGGUGAAGUCGUAACAAGGUAACCGUAGGGGAACCUGCGGUUGGAUCACCUCCUUACCUGAAGAUAC